rfam:Peniophora sp. CONT PENSPscaffold_12_Cont20, whole genome shotgun sequence.
GGAGCUGUGGCUCAGUGGUAGAGCAUCUGAUUCCAGAAUAAUAUGAGUUUCCAGAAGGUCGUCCGUUCGAUCCGGGCCAGCUUCA